rnacentral:tRNA from 1 species
GCUAAGUUAGUAUGAUUAAUAGUACAUCGAAUUUAGGUUUCGAAGGAAGAGAAAACUCUACCUGGCU